rnacentral:rRNA from 1 species
AUUGAACGCUGGCGGCAUGCUUUACACAUGCAAGUCGAACGGUAACAGGGUGCUUGCACCGCUGACGAGUGGCGAACGGGUGAGUAAUGCGUCGGAACGUGCCGAGUAGUGGGGGAUAACGCAGCGAAAGUUGUGCUAAUACCGCAUACGUACUGAGGUAGAAAGUGGGGGACCUUCGGGCCUCACGCUAUUCGAGCGGCCGACGUCUGAUUAGCUAGUAGGUGAGGUAAAGGCGCACCUAGGCGACGAUCAGUAGCGGGUCUGAGAGGAUGAUCCGCCACACUGGGACUGAGACACGGCCCAGACUCCUACGGGAGGCAGCAGUGGGGAAUUUUGGACAAUGGGCGAAAGCCUGAUCCAGCCAUGCCGCGUGUCUGAAGAAGGCCUUCGGGUUGUAAAGGACUUUUGUCAGGGAGGAAAUCCCUAGUGCUAAUAACACUGGGGGAUGACAGUACCUGAAGAAUAAGCACCGGCUAACUGCGUGCCAGCCGCCGCCGUAAUAC